ensembl:lncRNA
GACUGGGGACUCCCCAGAGCUCUAGCCUCCGACUCAUGUGAGGGCGUCGUGAGGCCCUGAGGCCCCGGGAGGUUCAGCUCCCAGAUGCCUGUGAGCUCCACCUGCCCCGACCGCACCAGCACACACCCUCGAUGGGCCGUGCUGUGCGGGAGCUGAGACCGCGUGGGCCCGCCAGGUCGGGGUGCUCGGGCGGCCUCACCCCUGCCGAGGACUGCAGCCCCUACAGGUCUGAUUUACUGACCAGGCUUUUCCAGCACGUUCUGAGGUGCCUGAAGAUACUGUUUCAGGUGGGGGUUUACCUGGCAGCCUGGGGAAGACCCCCCACCUUUGUUGGGACCCUUGGCUACCACAGAGCCAUUUGCCCCAUUUCCCUGCCAGUUCCGAAUCUCGAGGGACCAGGCUUCUCUCGGGCAUCACAACGCGCAACGCAGGACCUGGCACAGAGCGGACCCUGGCUGCCCUGGCCCCUGACACGCACGGAGCAUGCUCCCUGCCUGUGCGCACAGAGUGACAGAGGGCCCUGCCUGGGUGCCCGGGGGGUGAGCCUGGGUCGACCAUGGACCGCAGGUCUCAUGGGCCCGCCUCUCAGAACACGGAAGAAACGCCAGUGGCAGGAGCGCGUGGGGAAGUGGAGCCUUGGAUCCUGCCCUAGCCCUGACCAGGCUCUUGCGCAGAUGGUGGCUGGGCUUUCACCUUCUCCGAGACUUGUCAAGAUGAAGAGCCUGGGACUUGGUGGCUGACCCGGGGGGCGGGCGCCUCCUCCUGGCUCUGCCUGGAUGACUGGCCCCUCCCCGUGGAGCACAGACUCAGCCCGGAGUCUCAGGUCACGGGAGGACGAGCCCAGGGAAGUCCUGGCUCCACCAGCCGCCGGCUCUGCUUGUUUGCUGUGCUAGCACUUUGUAUCUGAAGGACUUGUCACACUCAACAACAAAGUUUCCACUCCGCCGUGUUUCCAGUUGGUGCAUACAUUGUAUCCGGGAACACUAGGAGGCCGGGCCGAGGCUGCCUUACGCACCUUGAAAAAUCCGCUUCCUGCUGUUAGAAAAGGGAACUUAUUCUGGCAUCAAAAUCACAAGACUCUGGCUGCUUCUCUUGUGCUUUAAUGGUCGGCACUCAAACGAAAGCGUGUAACGGCCCCGGCCUGCGCCUCCCUCCACACACUCAUUUGGUCUGUUCGCAAGUUCCCGGGUGAUACAAAAAUAGCCCGUACAAACUCUGUUUCCCGCAUAUAAAAACCGAGCGGAAAGGGUCUCAGUAGUCACUAACACAAAGCAUCUCAGGAAAAAUACAACACAGGUUUAACUUCUGCAGUAUUUUUUUCAUAUAAAACACUAGUAAAAUAGGCUUCUUAAAAAUUAAAUAGUGAAAUACCACCAAAUUAUAUACAUCGUUACAGUACAAGUGAAUGAGGCAAAGUAUCCAGUUCUCGGUUUCUCGGCGCAGGCGCUGUGCGGGGGGAAGCCUGUCUCCCUCUCCCGAGGUGGCAGCCGCUUUAGGAAGAGUGGCUGGCCGACGGACAGACGGACAGAGCCGGGUCGCCCAGCAAGACCAAGGUUCCUCCAGGACGCAGCAGGCAGGGCCGCCACUCCGGGGGUCCUGCCCGGGCCUGGGCUCUGCUCCCGGGAGCCCACACGGCGGGAGCUCACCGCGGCACUGGGGAGGGGCCGGGGCCUCCGCGCCCGAGCCGGCCCCACUCUCUCGGGCCCACCGGAGCCCCAGGUGGUCGCAGGGGGCCCUGUG